rnacentral:lncRNA from 1 species
AUCCUAAAAAAAGCCUAAUUAAAUCCUAACCAAAUCUUGAACAAAUCCUAGUCAAAUCCUAAACAAAUCCUAAUUAAAUUCUAAACAAAUCCUAACUAAAUCCUAAACAAAUCCUAAAUAAAUCCUAACCAAAUUGUAAGCAAAUCCUAAUCAAAUCCUAAACAAACAUUAACUAAAUCCUAGUCAAAUCUUAACCGAAUCUUAAACAAAUCCUAAACAAAACCUUAACUAAAUCCUAGUCAAAUCCUAACCAAAUUUUAAACAAAUCCUAAACAAAACCUUAACUAAAUCCUAGUCAAAUCCUAACUGAAUCUUAACCAAAUCCUAAACAAAACCUAAAUAAACCUUAACCAUAUCCUAAUAGAUCCCUAAAAGUUUUCUAACCAAAUCCUAAAUAAUCCCAAGUAAUUCUUAUAGCAGAUUUAAACCUUAAUAUAUAAUGAAUGAACCAUUGAUUUUAACUCAAAAUUUGCAUACGUCUUAAAAAUUAAGUUGAAAACAAGCACAAAUUUUUUGAGGAAGAUCAAACUCACAAAAAGAAGAUCAACCCAAAUAUUUGCUUGGAUGUUGGCCAACCUCAUUCUCUAAUCUGAAUGUUGAAUUUCUAGUGCCAAUAUCUCCUUAUUAAACCAUUUAAUUGAUCUUAAAUUUCUCUCAUAUAUAAAAAAAUAAAUCUACUACCUGCAUACAUAAUUUUCACUCCAAUCCAAUUAAUAGAUUGUAAAAAAUCUUAAAAACUCUCACUUAAUCUAAAACUCUACUUUUUGAGAUCCUAACCCACUUAAACCUCAAUAAUCCUCGAUCCAAUCCUUGAAUCAAGCUCAAAUUCACAGCAUAUAUUAAACACAUAUAAACCCACAAAUCUUUAAAAUUUCACCCAUGGAUCUAUUGCCAAACUUACGAAAUCUUUAAAAGAUAUCUCCCUUUUUAUUUCACAAAUCCAGAGUCAUGUAAAACAAACCUUGACUUUGCAAAGCUCUUGCAAAGUCAAUACAAAUCCAAAUCAUCUCAAAUUAAUGCCUAUCAAAACUCUAUCAAUUUUUUUCUCUAAAUCCA